CCUACGGGAGGCAGCAGUGGGGAAUUUUGGACAAUGGGCGCAAGCCUGAUCCAGCCAUGCCGCGUGCGGGAAGAAGGCCUUCGGGUUGUAAACCGCUUUUGUCAGGGAAGAAACGCUCUGGGCUAAUACCCCGGGGUAAUGACGGUACCUGAAGAAUAAGCACCGGCUAACUACGUGCCAGCAGCCGCGGUAAUACGUAGGGUGCAAGCGUUAAUCGGAAUUACUGGGCGUAAAGCGUGCGCAGGCGGUCUUGCAAGACAGAUGUGAAAUCCCCGGGCUCAACCUGGGAACUGCAUUUGUGACUGCAAGGCUAGAGUACGGUAGAGGGGGAUGGAAUUCCGCGUGUAGCAGUGAAAUGCGUAGAUAUGCGGAGGAACACCGAUGGCGAAGGCAAUCCCCUGGACCUGUACUGACGCUCAUGCACGAAAGCGUGGGGAGCAAACAGGAUUAGAUACCCUGGUAGUCCACGCCCUAAACGAUGUCAACUGGUUGUUGGGAAGGUUCCUUCUCAGUAACGUAGCUAACGCGUGAAGUUGACCGCCUGGGGAGUACGGCCGCAAGGUUGAAACUUAAGGAAUUGACGG
rnacentral:rRNA from 1 species